GGGGAUGAAAGGAUUUCGACGGGGGUUUUGAGGCGUGAUCAGCGAGCAGCGGCGCGGAACCGCUAUAAAAGCCGCAGUUUAUUUCAAAAUAAACGACAACAACACAGUUCUUAAAGCUGCUUAACUUUUAAGCAGCCGUCCUUACCGGGAGGACCGCGGCCCGGAUAAGGGCGUCAUUCAGCGGUGAACGUGUACGAAGGAGCGCCGCGGCCUUCGUCAUGCACGAGCGGCUACCGACCGGAGAAGCGUGUCCGCGCGCGUCUUCGCGGGGGAAUCCCAAAUCACGGACUACGCUCGUAGAACGUUGCGAGGAUGAGCUUUCGGACGCGGUUUCGAUUACCGCCAUCUCCACCA
rnacentral:tmRNA from 1 species